CUCGAGAGUGUAAAACGUGAUCAAUGAUUACUUGCGUCCAACGGCGGAGCUUCGUGGGGGCGAACCUGGGCGGUCGCCCCCCAGCGAAAAUGAAAAUUUUCUCAUGCCCCUAUGUAUCAGGCCCACUCAUAUACUAGGACUUAGUCAACGAUGCCUGGAGCCCUGGAUACGCACGAAUCCAGCCACCAGACCAGGCGGUGACCUACUCCACUACUCCAUCUCCAGAAUUCUUUUCCCCAACUAGACCGCGGACGGCUGGGGCAUGGGGGUGGGGCACCGGCGUCUGGGAGAUUGGCUGCUGGCGCCGUGGCUUGCCGGCGUGGGGGACUGGGGGCGACCGCUGGCGGGUGGCCGGACCUGGGAUUGGUCGGCUCCUUCCUCCUCCGCUCAGGUUCAUCCACAGAUCCACUUAUGCCUCGGCUAUGGCUGUCCGCUACAGCAUCAGGCUCCGUCAACGUCGCGCAGUGCCUCGGUGAGUCGUGUGAGCAGACUGUCCUCCCUGUAUCUAUCUCAAUCUCUCCCCUAUGGAAAAUUUGGAAAGUUGAAAUAUUGUGACCUCCGUAGCUUUGUAGUGGAGGAAAAAUUCUAAUUAGAUGUGGUCUUUUCAUCUGGUCAUUGUUGGAGAUGCAGCUCCCUGUAUAAUUUUCUGCAUCUCCCAGAUUAUGUAGCUUUGUUACCUUAGUGGAGGAACCUUUGGUGAGAAAGAAAAAUUAGUGGUCAUCUCGUCAUUGAUUUUGUAAAUUAGAUUUUGUCAAUUGGAUUUUGUACUGGAAUAGAAAAUGUCCUUUAAAGAUUAAGAGGGACCGAGGGAGGCAGUGAUGCUUAAGGGAAAACAAUUGAUGCAUUUUUCAAAAGAAAGCGAGGUGAUUCAACUGAAUGUGAAGCUGAUGAACCAACAACAAUGAAAGUAAUUCCUGUUCAGCCUCCUCUGUUGUUGCUUGAAUUUGAGCAACACGGACAACAUCCUUCGAUGCCUCAACAACAAGGCCAUGAAACUCAAACAAAUGAAGUCCAAUUCCGAGGGAUUGAAUUCUUGCAGCGAGACCCAGCACUACGUCCACAGAUUCGCCCCUCCAAAGAUUUCUUUCAAGCUCCGCCACUGCUUGCGUCCUCGGUUAUGCGCAAUUUUGAGCAACUUCACAUGGAACUAUCAUGAAGGUCACACCACCACCAUUUCUUAACUAAAACUUGAUGGACUGAAGAAUAGACCUCUUCUAAGAAGCAUCUAAUUGUAGUGAUUUCCUUUGGGUUUGAGAGUAGGUCGUCUAGGGAGGUUGUGUGAUGUAGUAUGUCCAAUAUUAGAGUAGAUCCACCUAUUAUAAAAUUAAGGAAAAUCUACAUUUGCUUUCUGGAAAAGAAAAACGGGCCUACACUUCCCCAAUACAUGAUUAGGUAUGUUAUACAUUUCGGUGAAACCUGCCAUACAUUCAAUGUGUAAACCCUUGGGGCUACAACGUGUCAUAUUGCGGGUUUUCUCAAAGAUGAGUUAGUGAUGCGAAGUAGGUUUAAGAUGUUUGUACUUAGCUUAUGCCUGCGAGUGGAUGGACACCAUAGAGAUAUUAUUGUUUUCUGAUGUAUUCUAAUGUAAGCUAGCCUUGAGCUAAGCAGGUAUGUAUUGUAUUGGAGACUGGAUCUGCCAUUUAAUACUUCUAACACGUGAUUAUCUUGGUAUUUCAUCAUGUACUAUGCAUGCUAGGUAUUGGUUCAGGGACUAGCACAAUAAGCGUAGAGAGGCCCGACCAUUUUACCCAUGGGAAUGGAUAUCCAUGGGUAACCGGCCUGCAUGGGUAGGGUAUGAGCACAUUUUCAUGUCCAAGGGCAGUGCCCGAACCCUACGCGACUAGUCGUGGGUAAAAUUUUCUAUCCAUGGGUCUCCAUAAGGCUAGGCACGGUCCUGCCAGGAGUUGCCCUUCCUCGCCCCGUGACGUGCCCUCAUCGGAGCUAUCAAUCCGGGAUUGGACGGACAACAUCCUGCUAGCUUUGUAGAGGAACGACACACAGGCGCAAUCACGUGGGUCUCACAACUUCGUGUCGUUGGUGUUACAAUCCCAAAAGAAAAAAGAAAAGAAAACUAUCAUAGGUUGUUCAUCCUUGAGCCACACAAAGACUCUACCGGUUACCAUUAAUUAAGGUAUGAAAAUUCUGUAUAAUUUCUCUGUUUUUUGUGGACAUGUUGAUGGCACUUUCGUCUGUACCAGUGUGUCAUCUAGCUGAUCAUAGUUUUCUUUCUUCUUGGGUGAGUGAUGGUUAAUAUAAUUGUGUUUGAAAAUUUC